CCUACGGGAGGCUGCAGUGAGGAAUAUUGGUCAAUGGACGAGAGUCUGAACCAGCCAAGUAGCGUGAAGGAUGAAUGCCCUAUGGGUUGUAAACUUCUUUUAUAUGGGAAUAAAAUGUUCCACGUGUGGGACUUUGUAUGUACCAUAUGAAUAAGGAUCGGCUAACUCGGUGCCAGCAGCCGCGGUAAUACGGAGGAUCCGAGGGUUAUCCGGAUUUAUUGGGUUUAACGGGAGCGUAGGUGGAUUGUUAAGUCAGUUGUGAAAGUUUGCGGCUCAACCGUAAAAUUGUAGUUGAAACUGGCAGUCUUGAGUACAGUAGAGGUGAGCGGAAUUCGUGGUGUAGCGGUGAAAUGCUUAGAUAUCACGAAGAACUCCGGUUGCGAAGGCAGUUCACUGGACUGCAACUGACACUGAGGCUCGAAAGUGUGGGUAUCAAACAGGAUUAGAUACCCCAGUAGUC
rnacentral:rRNA from 1 species